rnacentral:rRNA from 1 species
AUGAACGCUAGCUACAGGCUUAACACAUGCAAGUCGAGGGGCAGCAUGGUCUUAGCUUGCUAAGACUGAUGGCGACCGGCGCACGGGUGAGUAACACGUAUCCAACCUGCCGUCUACUCUUGGACAGCCUUCUGAAAGGAAGAUUAAUACAAGAUGGCAUCAUGAGUCCGCAUGUUCACAUGAUUAAAGGUAUUCCGGUAGACGAUGGGGAUGCGUUCCAUUAGAUAGUAGGCGGGGUAACGGCCCACCUAGUCUUCGAUGGAUAGGGGUUCUGAGAGGAAGGUCCCCCACAUUGGAACUGAGACACGGUCCAAACUCCUACGGGAGGCAGCAGUGAGGAAUAUUGGUCAAUGGGCGAGAGCCUGAACCAGCCAAGUAGCGUGAAGGAUGACUGCCCUAUGGGUUGUAAACUUCUUUUAUAAAGGAAUAAAGUCGGGUAUGCAUACCCGUUUGCAUGUACUUUAUGAAUAAGGAUCGGCUAACUCCGUGCCAGCAGCCGCGGUAAUACGGAGGAUCCGAGCGUUAUCCGGAUUUAUUGGGUUUAAAGGGAGCGUAGAUGGAUGUUUAAGUCAGUUGUGAAAGUUUGCGGCUCAACCGUAAAAUUGCAGUUGAUACUGGAUAUCUUGAGUGCAGUUGAGGCAGGCGGAAUUCGUGGUGUAGCGGUGAAAUGCUUAGAUAUCACGAAGAACUCCGAUUGCGAAGGCAGCCUGCUAAGCUGCAACUGACAUUGAGGCUCGAAAGUGUGGGUAUCAAACAGGAUUAGAUACCCUGGUAGUCCACACGGUAAACGAUGAAUACUCGCUGUUUGCGAUAUACGGCAAGCGGCCAAGCGAAAGCGUUAAGUAUUCCACCUGGGGAGUACGCCGGCAACGGUGAAACUCAAAGGAAUUGACGGGGGCCCGCACAAGCAGUGGAGUAUGUGGUUUAAUUCGACGCAACGCGAAGAACCUUACCAAGGCUUGACAUAUACAGGAAUAUGUUAGAAAUAGCAUAGCUCUUCGGAGCUUGUAUACAGGUGGUGCAUGGUUGUCGUCAGCUCGUGUCGUGAGAUGUUGGGUUAAGUCCCGCAACGAGCGCAACCCUUACUGUCAGUUACUGCGCAAGAGGACUCUGGCAGGACUGCCGUUGACAAAACGGAGGAAGGUGGGGAUGACGUCAAAUCAUCAUGCCCUUUAUGACUUGGGCUACACACGUACUACAAUGGCGUUAAACAAAGAGAAGCAAGACCGCGAGGUGGAGCAAAACUCAGAAACAACGUCCCAGUUCGGACUGCAGGCUGCAACUCGCCUGCACGAAGUCGGAAUUGCUAGUAAUCGUGGAUCAGCAUGCCACGGUGAAUACGUUCCCGGGCCUUGUACACACCGCCCGUCACACCAUGAGAGCCGGGGGGACCCGAAGUCGGUAGUCUAACCGCAAGGAGGACGCCGCCGAAGGUAAAACUGGUGAUUGGGGUG